rnacentral:rRNA from 1 species
CGUAGGGUGCGAGCGUUAAUCGGAAUUACUGGGCGUAAAGCGUGCGCAGGCGGUUUUGUAAGACAGAUGUGAAAUCCCCGGGCUCAACCUGGGACCUGCAUUUGUGACUGCAAGGCUAGAGUACGGUAGAGGGGGAUGGAGUUCCGCGUGUAGCAGUGAAAUGCGUAGAUAUGCGGAGGAACACCGAUGGCGAAGGCAAUCCCCUGGACCUGUACUGACGCUCAUGCACGAAAGCGUGGGGAGCAAACAGGAUUAGAUACCUUGGUAGUCCACGCCCUAAACGAUGUCAACUGGUUGUUGGGUCUUUACUGACUCAGUAACGAAGCUAACGCGUGAAGUUGACCGCCUGGGGAGUACGGCCGCAAGGUUG